rnacentral:lncRNA from 1 species
AAGGGGAGCUGAAAAUCACGAUUUUGCUGGAGUAAAGGGGGGCCGAAAUUCUGCUUGAACAUCAAACCAAAGUAGGUAAUGAUCCAACACUCUAAACUUGGUUUAUAGAGGUUGUUUAACACCUUUAAACUUGGAUAUUCAUAUGGGUGGUUGUUAUUGUUGGAAAUUUGGAAGGUGGGCUCUAUGAACUCCCACCCUUUGUCUUGAUGGCUGAUGUGAUGAUUGAUGAUGAAUUUAAUGUUGGUUUAGUGCUCAAAAUGGUAGAUUAAUGGUGUAUUAGUAGUAUGAACUUCAAGAAAUGCAUGAGAGGAAAAGUUCCAAUUCUGCCCCUGCUUUGAACGUAUCUAUUUCUGCAGAAUUUUGGGGUUGUAAUGACUUAUAUAUGACGUUUAUAUGUUUUAUAGAUGGUGUAUAAAAUUUCAUUGAAAAAUAUUGAGGUUUGGUGGGUCAAAUGAAUUGAUUUCACAAAGCUAGUAAAUCUGGAACUGUUCACGUACUGCUCUGACCAGCUUUCGUGUUUUGGCCAUAAUUUUGUGCUCCGACGUCGAAAUCGAGUGCCGUUAGCGGCAUUUGAAACUAGACAUUCCAACCUUUCCGAUGGUAUAAAAUGAACCUUCUGGUUCCAUGUAUGUGAGCAAAACCAACCAUUUAAAGUCGUCUGUUCUGUUUCUCGGUUUUACUGGAACGAAAUGCUGAGGCUGCAACUUGUGGCUCGAAUUCGAGCUAGUUGUGUUCCGAAUUUCAAAAUGAUUUCUUCUGUGAAAUUAUAGCUCUAUGAAUGUGUUUUCCAACGCCAUAAACCAUGCCCAAUUCUGAGUUAAUUUGGGUGAUUUGUAAUCAAAAUACGGAACCUGCCCUGCUCUUGAAAACCCUGACUUUUGGACAGAUUUGAUGCAAGGCUUGGUAUAGACUUGCUAACUGAAUAUUUUGGUGCUAAACACUUACCAAAUGUACCAUGAAUAUUCCUUAGGCUUUGCCUACACUAAUGAGCCAUGUUUGAGGAAUUUUUCCUUGACCAAAUGUUUGAAAUGGAAAACAAAAGGUUCAAGGCAGUUUUGUCUUAGUAUUUUUGAAACUUAGGGUGUUUGAUUGACUACCUUCCCGAAGGUAUUUUUUUAUGAAAUUUGAUAGAGGGAUACUAUUUAUAUAGGAGUAUUAUACUGCCGAAUUUUGUACCAAUCCGAGUCCAUUUCGAUACCUAACUAAAGUCCCAAAGUUGGAAGCUCAAAUCUGGAAAUUUGUUCACCAGUUCACCAGUUUUAAAGUCCCACAAAAGGAUCGCACGGUGGACGCUUAAACUUCGAGUGCCCUUUUUUUCUCGUUUUACUUGGUGAGUGUCAAGUGUAUGUUACUUGAACUCCUGUGAAUUCGAUACGUGAUUACUUAUUAUUGAUACUUGAGAUUUUGGGAAAUGGAGUCGAGUGUGUACUUUAUCGCACUCGUUCUCAUUCGAAAUGAUUUAACUCAUGCUCAAAUUGCUUGAAUAUAUAGAUUGCUUGGAUACAUCGAUUGCUUGUACAUAUCAAUGCUUGAUACAUGAUAUGGUAUGCUAUGACUGCAUACGUCGUUGGAGUGAAUCUCCUCGACACACAAUUGCACAUGGGGACGCCCACAUCUCAUUGGCCGACCUUGGACUCGAGCCGGCAUAGGUUUGGUCGGGAACCUUGGCGAGCCAUGAGAUAUAUAUGCUUGACCUAAUAAGAGGUCUUGCUUGGCAUAUUCGAGUAGUAUCGCCACAAACAAAUGACAGGCGGGCCCGAUACAGGGGUAUGUAAGGUGAAAGGGGACAGGUUAAGUGGAGUUCUACGGACAAAACCUACCCGAUUGACGGAGUGUCAAUUCGCGGAGGUUAUUGAUCGUGCAAGUGGAAUAUAGCUCCUGAGAGCUCCUAUAUCCUUGAAUUGUUUCCGUUUACUUUCCGGUAAAUUGUUAAUUAUUGAAACAUAUUAUUGCUUAGCUUGUAAUUGGGAUUGUUACUUGAACUACGUGCUUGCAUGUGUGUCCUUGGCCUCACGAGUGUUUUGCUCACCCUGUAGAUUUGUUUUCCUUAACAUGAAUGGAAAUGGAGUUAACGCGGAGAGAUCUCCUUUUGGAUAUAUUUUGUUUUAGGGUUUCAAGUGUAUUUUGGCUUGACCCCUUUAUGAUUGUACUUUUGGAAGUUUAAUGUAUCAUUUGGAUAUAUGUGAUGUAUAUUUUGGAAUUUAAGUUGUAUUAUGAACGCCCGACGUGCGGGUUGGAUAAUGGAUGGAUAUUGUUAAGCAUGAACGCUUCCGCACUAUAUGUAUUUGUACUAAUUUGAUUGUGGUAUCUAGUAUCGCUAUAAGUUUGAACGUUUAUUGCUUGAGUUCUGGCGAGAGCUAGGCAGGCGUUCCGCGGAUACCCUUUGGUGCGCCUUAGGGAGAAGUGGGGGCGUCACAGUUGGUAUCAGAGCGCUAGGUUAGAGAUCUAUAUGGGAGAUAUAUUAGAUACUCUACCCUUAAGACGUGAGAUCGGAUAAUUAAGUUCUACCUUAAGUGGUAUUUGUGGCAUACUAGUAUUUGGGUUAGGCAUGCAUAAACGACAUCCGAACUAGAUAGUGUUUUAAAUUUCUAACCCGAAAAGUGCUAUUAUUUUGCAGGGAUGGAAAACGGAAAUGGAGUUCCGGCAGCUGACGGGAAUGGCCAUGCGAAUGGCCAUAUAGUGCCUCCUAGGCCUAUCUACUACCGAGCUCUAGUUGGGGGAGCUCGAGUACGCUAUUCUCCAUCUGACAGAUAUCCCCGAUGUGCAUGUAGGGUUACCUUUGCUUACCCGAACCACCUUGUGCUUGCUCUGGACGACGAGCGUCGUCAGCUAGUGGAUCUUACCAGGGAUCUUCAGGCAGAGGUGGACGAGCUUAGACAGAUGGUUAGCGCUCAGGGUGAGCGGAUUGCCGAGCUCGAGAAGGUGAUCGAGGGUGAGGUGGCCACAUCUGCAGUGGUUCGUGAUGAGUUUCAGAGUGCUAGGGCUCAACUUACUUGGUUGAGAGAGGAGGUCCAUAGUCGGGCUUCCGAUAUCGUAGCUGAUGCCACUAGGCUAGUGGAUGAGGUGAUGGGUGUGGCUCAGGACUCUGAGGAGGAGGAUCCUGAGGAGGAGGUUCCUCCUGAUAGUCCUGCUGCGGACUAGAUCUAGAUUGAUCGACCUUUCUUUUGACCCUUUUGACUAGUAUAGCUAGUAUUAGUAGGGGUGAUGCUAAGUGCUGAGACCAUUGCAUUUUGCAUGACUGUGUGGCCUAUUUUUGAGGCACUUGCUUUACUUUAGUUUUCUGUAACUAAAAGUACUCUUGUGGCACCUGUGUGCUAUAUUUUUGUGACUACCCCAUGAUUUGCUAAUUGUAUGAACUUGAUAUGCUAAUAAAUGUAAAUUAUUGUUAUAUCCAAUGUCUUCUAGGUUGGUUCCUGCUUUCUACUUUGCAUCGCAUAAUUUAUUUAUUUCUUGCACAUGGAAGGACUAAGAAGGGGUCGAGACCGUGGUCGAGGCCGUGGGCGAGGGACUAGACCAGCUCAACCUCAAAGGGAUGACCAGGGAUCGGCAACUGGACUGACCCAAGGUCAGGAAAAUAUUGAGGGUAAUCAAGUGGCUACUGCCAUUAAUAGAAUGACUGAUAUCCUAGAGCGCUUAGCUGAUAGACAAGGAUCUGGACCGUUCAACCAACCUAGGGGUCAAGAAAGAGGAGAGGAUAGAGCCUUAGAGAGGUUUUUGAAAUUUAACCCGCCUAAGUUCCUCGGCGAACCUGAUCCUGAGGUAGCGGAGAAUUGGUUAGAAAGGAUGACCAACAUAUUCGCUACUUUAGACUACACUAAAGAUAGGCGAAUGAAUUUCGCUGCUUUCCAAUUUGAGGGAGUAGCCCGUGCUUGGUGGGAUCUGAUAAAAGGAAAAUGGGAGAGAACUCAGACACCUUGGACUUGGGAGAAUUUCACAAGGGAAUUUAACAAAAAGUUUCUUCCGCCCUUAAUCCAAGAGAAGAAGGAUGAUGAAUUUAUCAAACUAAAACAGGAAGCUCUUAGUGUAGCUGAGUAUGAAGGAAAGUUUACUAAACUUUCAAAGUACGCUCCCGAAUUGGUGACUAAUGAACGAAAAAGGAUUAGACGAUUUGUUCAGGGACUUAAUGUGGAGAUACAAGAGGGUUUGGCUGCAGCCCAAAUCUCUACAUUUACUGAGGCACUAGAGAAAGCUCAAAGGGUAGAAAAUGCAAGGAUGCAAGUGAGAGACUUCCACAAUAGAAAAAGAAACUUUUCUAGCCAUACUUCUGGACAAGCAAGUAAGAGUGCACAACCUUCCAAGAUGGGAAGAGGAGCAGGAGAAGUGAAGUCUGUUAGAGCUUCUAGGGGAACUCUAUCUAGAGGGGGUCGUAGUGGGACGACUCAAUUUAGGGGAGCGCCUUCUACUGGAUCGGCUGUGACCCCUCAAGUUACAUGUGGAUACUGUGGUAAAUCCAACCACUCUGAGAACGAUUGCUGGAGAAGUUGGGAAAUGUUUAUUUUGUAGUAGUGCUGAACAUCAAGUCGCCAAUUGUCCAAAAUCGCCAAAGACAGAAGGAAACCCUCAGAGGCCAGAAAAGUCAACCUCUAAGCAGACCAGUGCCGGAGGAAGUCGAUCGAAAGUUCCGGCCAGGGUUUAUGCAUUGGAUUAUCAACAAGUUCCUGAGGUAACUGAGGUGGUAGAAGGUACAAUCCCAAUCUUUCACCGUUUAGCUAGGGUUUUAAUUGAUCCAUGUGCUAUACAUUCUUUUGUAAACCCUAACUUCAUGAGUGAGAUAGAUUCGAAACCAAUUAAAUUACCAUAUGAUUUAGAGGUUAAAACGCCUACUGGGGAUCAAAGUCUAAUUGCUAACUUGGUGUAUCAAGAUUGUGAAGUCUGAAUUGGGGAACGAAAAUUAUUGACUGAUUUGAUAGGUUUGACGAUUAAGGGAUAUGAUGUGAUAUUAGGAAUGGAUUGGCUAGCCCAUUAUAAUGCCCAAUUGAACUGUAGGACGAAAAUUGUAGAAUUGUGUAUUCCAGGGGAGGCAACCCUGAUCUGGAUGUAAGGGGCAAAUUGGCUUCAUUUGCACUUAUUUCAGGAAUUCGGGUUAAAAAAUUAUUAAGUAAAGGAACUCAAGGGUUUUUGACUUUUCUUAUUAACACCCCAAGUGAUAAGGUGAAUUUGAAGGACAUGCCUGUAGUGAAAGACUUUCCAGAUGUUUUUCCCGAAAAGUUAGAGUCUCUACCUCCAGAAUGGGAAAUAGCUUUUAAAAUUGAUGUAACUCCGGGAGUGACACCUAUCUCUAAGACGCCAUAUCGGAUGGCUCCAGCGAAAUUAAAGGAGUUGAAAUUGCAACUGCAAGACUUGCUGGAAAGGGAUUUUAUAAAAGAGAGUGAUUCUCCGUGGGGAGCCCCAGUUUUGUUCGUUAAGAAAAAGGACGGGAGUUUGAAACUAUGUAUAAACUAUAGAGGCUUGAAUGAGGUCACCAUUAAGAAUAAAUACCCACUGCCCCACAUUGACGAGUUAUUUGACCAAUUGCAGGGGGCGGUAGUAUUCUCAAAGUUGGAUUUAAGACAGGGUUAUUAUCAGUUGAGGAUUUUGGAGAAGGACAUACCCAAGACUGCUUUUAACUCGAGAUACAGGCAUUUUAAAUUUGCCGUGAUGCCGUUUGGAUUAAUGAAUGCUCCUGAUGCUUUUAUGGAUUUAAUGCAUAGGGUUUUUAAGCCUUAUUUGGACCAAUUUGUGGUAGUGUUCAUUGAUGAUAUUUUGGUGUAUUUUAAGAAUGUGAAAGACCAUGAGAAAUACUUGAGGGUUGUUUUGCAAACCUUAAGGGAGCAUCAAUUGUAUGCUAAGUUUAGCAAGUGCGAAUUCUGGUUAAAAGAAGUGACUUUCUUAGGACACAUAAUCUCUAAGGAUGGGAUUAAAGUGGAUCCAGCUAAAGUUGAAGCUGUUUCGAAAUGGAAACGACCGGAAAAUCCUAUCAAGGUUCGGAGUUUUAUUGGAUUAGUAGGCUAUUACCGGAGAUUUAUCAAAGAUUUUUCUAGAAUUGCUGGACCAAUGACCGAGCUGACCAAGAAAAAUGGGAAGUUUAUAUGGAGUUCUAAGUGUGAAGAUAGUUUUCAGGAAUUGAAAAGACGGUUAACAAGGGCACCUGUGUUAGCUUUGCCAAACGGAAAGGAUAGUUUUGUGGUUUAUACAGACGCAUCUAAAGAAGGUUUGGGAUGUGUGUUGAUGCAAAAUGAUAAAGUGAUAGCAUAUGCCUCUAGAAAAUUGAAACCGCAUGAAAGGAAUUACCCGACUCGUGAUUUGGAGUUAGCUGCUGUGAUCUUUGCUUUGAAGAAAUGGAGACAUUACUUGUAUGGAGUAACGUUUGAAGUCUUUACUGAUCACAAAAGCCUUAAAUACUUAUUUUCACAGAAGGAACUGAAUUUGAGGCAACGUAGAUGGAUGAAAUUUUUGGAAGACUAUGACUGUAUGAUUAAGUACCAUCCAGGGAAAGCUAAUGUAGUGGCUGACGCUUUGAGUCGUCAAGUACAAAUGGCUGGAUUGAUGAUUAAGGAAUUUCAAUUGUUGGAAGAAGUUAGUUAUUGGAAUCCUCGACUGGAAUCGAGGAAAGUAAUUUUGGGAAAUAUUGUAUUGAAUUCCACUUUGAUGGAACGUAUCAAGAAAUCUGAAGGAAAGGACACUGAGGUGCAGAAGUGGUUGGAAAAGGUUAAAAAGGGGGACAAGUCGGACUUCAACUUGGGAACGAAUGGUGUAUUGAGAUUUCAGAAUCGGGUGGUUGUGUCAAAGGAUGAAGGGCUUAAAAAGAAAAUUUUAGAAGAGGCACACCGAUCAAAGUUUACGGUACACCCAGGAGGGAAUAAAAUGUACCAAGACUUAAAGAGUCUGUAUUGGUGGGAGAACAUGAAAAAAGAGAUUGCUCAAUUUAUCCAAACAUGCUUAAUUUAUCAACAGGUUAAAGCCGAACAUCAGAAACCAUCGGGACUUUUGCAACCUCUAGAAAUACCUGAGUGGAAAUGGGAGAAUAUCACCAUGGAUUUUGUAUCGGGAUUACCAAGGACACAGAGAGGCCAUGAUGCGAUUUGGGUAAUAGUGGAUAGAUUGACCAAAUCGACUCAUUUUCUGCCGAUUAAUAUGAAACACCCGUUAGAGAAGCUGGCCAGGCUGUAUUUGGAUGAGAUCAUUAGGUUGCAUGGAAUACCUGUCAGUAUCGUGUCGGAUAGGGAUCCAAGAUUUGUUUCGAAGUUCUGGCAAAAGAUGCAAGAAGUGUUAGGGACUAAAUUGAAUUUUAGUACUACUUAUCAUCCCCAAACCGAUGAACAGUCUGAAAGGACAAUUCAGACCCUUGAGGAUAUGUUGAGAACUUGCGUUCUGAAUUUUGGGGAGAGUUGGAGUAAGUUUUUGACUUUAGUAGAAUUUACCUACAACAAUAGUUUCCAUUCUUCUAUUCAGAUGGCCCCGUAUGAGGCACUUUAUGGUCGAAAAUGUAGGUCUCCGAUUUGUUGGGAUGAAAUAGGUGAACGGGAAAUCUUAGAUCCGACUACAGUGUCUUGGAUUGAAGAAACUAAUGAGAAAGUAAAGUUGGUACGCCAAAGAAUUCAGACCGCUCAGAGCCGCCAAAAGAGUUACGCCGAUAAUCGGAGAAAAGAUUUGGAGUUUACUGUUGGAGAUUUGGUAUUUCUCAGAAUCACGCCCUUGAAAGCAGGCGUGAUGUCUGGAAAAUGAAAGAAGUUACAACCAAGAUUUGUAGGAUCUUACAAGAUUAUCCAACGUGUGGGGAAUGUAGCCUAUAAGCUUGAAUUGCCACCGAGUUUAUCUCGAAUCCAUAAUGUAUUCCAUGUAUCUAUGCUUAAGAAGUAUCAUCCAGACCCUUCUCACAUUUUGCAACCGGAGAGUAUUGAGAUUGAUGAGACUUUGACCUAUGAAGAGAAACCGGUGAAACUUCUGGAUCGAAAGGUGAAGGAAUUGAGGAACAAGCAGAUACCACUAGUAAAAGUUCUUUGGAGGAACCAAGGAGUUGAGGAAGUAACAUGGGAAGUUGAAGAAACGAUCAGAGAGAAGUAUCCGGACUUGUUUGCCAAUCAAGGUAAAAUUUCGAGGACGAAAUUCUCUUAAGAGGGAGAGGAUGUGAGGACUCGAAAAUCUAUUAUUUUUAAAUCCCUAAUUUUGGCUUAAUUAAUUAUUUAUUUGAAUUUUUGCCACGAAUAAUAUUUUAUAACCUUAUUAGACCUAAGUACAUGGUAUUAUAGUUUCGUUAUAUUUUUAAAGUGUCUCGUUUCAAAAAUUAUUUUCUUAGAAGCUUGUCUAGUGAAAAAGUGAAAACGCGUUUGGAAAAUUUAACCAAUUGGGAGUACAUUAAGUCCGGAAAAUUGGAGACAUGUACAAUGGUCUUAAAAUAGGUAAAUUUAGGUUUAAAUGCUCAAGUGAUAGUUAGGGGUACGAUCGUUAUAAGAAUUUCUCGAAAGUUUCACUUUAUCGCGCCUAAAUUGGAAAUACGCGUUUUCACGCGCGCGACUAAUUGAGGGACUUUAAACCAUUAUUUUGGGACAAUUAAGUGUGAAUAAUAUUUAUAUGAAUAUAAGUGCAUUAGAGGUUUAGUGCACUAGUGAAAUAAACUCGAAAGGAAUCGAGCCCAAAAUGCGAGCGUACACGCGCAAGAGAGAGUUGACUUUCGGCGAAUUGUGGCCACACAUUUAAGCUUACUUUAGAAGCUUUAUUUCAGCAUAUCAUACGCCUCUUUCUUUCUCAUUUAGCCGAAACAUCAGCUGCAACAAAACAACUCCAAGUUUUACAAAUUCCUUCUCCAAAUCUUACAAAAAUCUUCAUCCAAUUCACACCCAACUUAAACCACACGUGGCUUAACACUUAAGGAUCAUUUGAGUUGCAAAAGGGGAGCUGAAAAUCACGAUUUUGCUGGAGUAAAGGGGGGCCGAAAUUCUGCUUGAACAUCAAACCAAAGUAGGUAAUGAUCCAACACUCUAAACUUGGUUUAUAGAGGUUGUUUAACACCUUUAAGCUUGGAUAUUCAUAUGAGUGGUUGUCAUUGUUGGAAAUUUGGAAGGUGGGCUCUAUGAACUCCCACCCUUUGUCUUGAUGGCUGAUGUGAUGAUUGAUGAUGAAUUUAAUGUUGGUUUAGUGCUCAAAAUGGUAGAUUAAUGGUGUAUUAGUAGUAUGAACUUCAAGAAAUGCAUGAGAGAAAAAGUUUCAAUUCUGCCCCUGCUUUGAACGUAUCUAUUUCUACGAAAUUUUGGGGUUGUAAUGACUUAUAUAUGUUGUUUAUAUGUUGUAUUGAUGGUGUAUAAAAUUUCAUUGAAAAAUAUUGAGGUUUGGUGGGUCAAAUGAAUUGAUUUCACAAAGCUAGUAAAUCUGGAACUGUUCCCGUAAUGCUCUGACCAGCUUUCGUGUUUCAGCCAUAAUUUUGUGCUCCGACUUCGAAAUGAAGAGCUGUCAGUGGAAUUUGAAACUAGACAUUCCAACCUUUCCGACGGUAUAAAAUGCACGUUCUGGUUCCAUGUAUCUGAGCCGAACCAACCAUUUAAAGUCGGCUGUUCUGUUUCUCUAUUUUACUGGAACGAAAUGCUGAGGCUGCAACUUGUGGCUCGAAUUCGAGCUAGUUGUGUGCCGAAUUUCAAAAUGAUUUCUUCUGUGAAAUUAUAGCUCUAUGAAUGUGUUUUCCAACGCCAUAAACCAUGCUCAAUUCUGAGUUAAUUUGGGUGAUUUGUGAUCAAAAUACGGAACCUGCCCUGCUCUUGAAAACCCUGACUUUUGGACAGAUUUGAUGCAAGGCUUGGUAUAGACUUGCUAACUGAAUAUUUUGGUGCUAAACACUUACCAAAUGUACCAUGAAUAUUCCUUAGGUUUUGCCUACACUAAUGAGCCAUGUUUGAGGAAUUUUUCCUUGACCAAAUGUUUGAAAUGGAAAACAAAAGGUUCAAGGCAGUUUUGUCUUAGUAUUUUUGAAACUUAGGGUGUUUGAUUGACUACCUUCCUGAAGGUAUUUUUCCAUGAAAUUUGAUAGAGGGAUACUCUUUAUAUAGGAGUAUUAUACUGCCGAAUUUUGACCCAAUCCAAGUCCAUUUCGAUACCUAACUAAAGUCCCAAAGUUGGAAGCUCAAAUCUGGAAAUUUGUUCACCAGUUUUGAAUUUUUCCCAAACUUCGAGCUACUGUAUCUCGGUGCUCGAAACUCCGAUCCUUGAUCUGCUUUUUCUAUUAAAAACCUUACUUGUAACUCUAAUUAAGUUACAAAUUUCAGAGGCUAGCUUGCAAUGUGUGAAUUUUGCCGAAUUUCCAAAGUUAGCGAAAAACCAACCCCGGCUCAAUUCUGAGUGUUCUGGAACAGCAACUUUAAGCCCAUUUUUGAAUAUCUUUCACUUAGAUUCAUGGAAAAGUGUCUUCUAAGAACUUUUAGUACUUUCAAAGAGGUUUCCAACGGUACCAAGUUUUCCAAUUUUUGAUAUGUAGAAUGUGAGAUACGAUUUUUCAAAAUAUCGUAUCAAAACUGAAAAUUUUCCGAAUUCCAAAGGAAGGGAGUUUUCAAGCACUCCUUAUUCCUUCGAUAUUACUUGAACAUGUUAUACCUGAUUUUCUAAAAUGAAAACUUGAUCGUUCUUAUAUUUUAAGAAACUCUAAUUGAAUCUCGAUUUACGAGUAAUUGAGGUUCGAUUUCAUGAAAUUUCCUUAGAUUGUACUAGUGUACAAUCUUCCUUGACAAUUGGGAUAUAUGAGUGAUGUUUCACUAUUAUUUGCUCAGGCGCACACGAGGACCCACAAAAGGAUCCCACGGUGGAUGCUUAAACUUUGAGUGCCCUUUUCUUCUCGUUUUACUUGGUGAGUGUCAAGUGUAUGUUACUUGAACUCCUGUGAAUUUGAUACGUGAUUACUUGUUAUUGAUACUUGAGAUUUUGGGAAAUGGAGUCGAGUGUGUACUUUAUCGCACUCGUUCUCAUUCGAAAUGAUUUAACUCAUGCUCAAAUUGCUUGAAUAUAUCGAUUGCUUGGAUACAUCGAUUGCUUGUACAUAUCAAUGCUUGAUACAUGAUAUGGUAUGUUAUGGCUGCAUAUGUCGUUGGAGUGAAUCUCCUCAACACACAAUUGCACAUGGGGACGCCCACAUCUCAUUGGCCGACCUUGGACUCGAGCCGACAUGAGCUUGGUCGGGAACCUUGGCGAGCCAUAAGAUAUAUAAGCUUGACCUAAUGAGAGGUCUUGCUUGGCAUACUCGAGUAGUAUCGUCACAAACAAAUGACAGGCGGGUCCGAUACAGGGGUAUGUAAGGUGAAAGGGGACAGGUUAAGUGGAGUUCUACGGACAAAACCUACCCGAUUGACGGAGUGUCAAUUCGUGGAGGUUAUUGAUCAUGCAAGUGGAAUAUAGCUCCUGAGAGCUCCUAUAUCCUUGAAUUGUUUCCGUUUACUUUCCGGUAAAUUGUUAAUUAUUGAAACAUAUUAUUGCUUAGCUUGUAAUUGGGAUUGUUACUUGAACUACGUGCUUGCAUGUGUGUCCUUGGCCUCACGAGUGUUUUGCUCACCCUGUAGAUUUGUUUUCCUUAACAGGAAUGGAAAUGGAGUUAACGCGGAGAGAUCUCCUUUUGGAUAUAUUUUGUUUUAGGGUUUCAAGUGUAUUUUGGCUUGACCCCUUUAUGAUUGUACUUUUGGAAGUUUAAUGUAUCAUUCGGAUAUAUGUGAUGUAUAUUUUGGAAUUUAAGUUGUAUUAUGAACGCCCGACGUGCGGGUUGGAUAAUGGAUGGAUAUUGUUAAGCAUGAACGCUUCCG